UGUCCAGGGAUGGGAAACGAACCCACAGUGUUCCGCUUACCGAGCAGAUGCCAUGUCCACUAGGCUACCCUCAUAC
rnacentral:tRNA from 1 species